UCAGAUCUGCUACAAUGGACGUUACAGAAAGAGUUACCUUUAGAUCCACAAGGAAUAAGAUUCUUACCGGGCGAAACAGAGGGUUUUCCGUAUGACGCUAUAAUGCUGUUGGGCCUCCACAGUU
rnacentral:lncRNA from 1 species